rnacentral:rRNA from 1 species
CCUACGGGUGGCUGCAGUGGGGAAUAUUGGGCAAUGGGCGCAAGCCUGACCCAGCAACGCCGCGUGAAGGAAGAAGGCUUUCGGGUUGUAAACUUCUGUUCUGAGGGACGAAGAAAGUGACGGUACCUCAGGAAUAAGCCACGGCUAACUACGUGCCAGCAGCCGCAGUAAUACGGAGGUGGCAAGCGUUAUCCGGAUUUAUUGGGUGUAAAGGGAGUGUAGGCGGGAAAGCAAGUCAGAUGUGAAAACUCAGGGCUCAACCCUGAGCCUGCAUUUGAAACUGUUUUUCUGGAGUGCUGGAGAGGCAAGCGGAAUUCCGUGUGUAGCGGUGAAAUGCGUAGAUAUAAGGAGGAACACCAGUGGCGAAGGCGGAUUGCUGGACAGUAACUGACGCUGAGGCGCGAAGGCGUGGGGAGCAAACAGGAUUAGAUACCCGAGUAGUC